GAUGAAGAACGCAGUGAAAUGCGAUAAGUAAUGUGAAUUGCAGAAUUCAGUGAAUCAUCGAAUCUUUGAACGCACAUUGCGCCCCUUGGUAUUCCGAGGGGCAUGCCUGUUCGAGCGUCAUUAUAACCCCUCAAGCUCAGCUUGGUGUUGGGGCCUGCCGCACGGGCAGCCCUUAAAAUCAGUGGCGGUGCCAUCUGGCUCUAAGCGUAGUAAUUCUUCUCGCUAUAGAGUCCCGGUGGAUGCUUGCCAUUAACCCCCAAUUUUCUAUGGUUGACCUCGGAUCAGGUAGGGAUACCCGCUGAACUUAAGCAUAUCAAUAAGCGGAGGA
rnacentral:misc_RNA from 1 species